rnacentral:tRNA from 1 species
GCCGAAGUGGCGGAAUGGCAGACGCGGCGGUCUCAAAAACCGUUGGGCCCAAAGCCCGUGUGGGUUCGAAUCCCACCUUCGGCACCA